CCCGGCGCAGCCACGGCCUCGCAUGGAAGACGGCCUCGGCUCCGACGGCUGGUCGACUAGCACCGCUGCCUGUUCCGUUUCUUGGAGGUGAAAGGGGAAGUAGCUAGAUGUUGUAGCUCUGUCUUCUCCUCUCUCUCCCUUCUUUCACUCCUCUAAUCCUCUUCUUUUUGCAGCGACCAACACUAGGACCCGAGGAUCCGGCGCCUUGAUAGAGCAAGAUGAGGGACGUGAACAAACCAGCACCAUGGCCAUGUCUGCCUAACCUCCCCCUCUCUCUCAGCCGAUGGCGGCAACACGGAGGUAGCUGCACAUGAGGAGCUCGACCUCAGUAAGGGGCGGAGCUACCCCCAGGCAACCAUGGCCAUGGCCCAGGACGCAUCAAAUUUUCCGGCCACCUACGCAUUGAAUUUUGGAAUUGGCUCCGGGUACUGUCCAGUACUUGCCUGUCCGUUCUGACCCGAUACGACCCAAAUUAGUUGGAAACGAGAUCCACAUCGAGCGGGAAGGAGGUUCCGUCCCCUUGGUCUCUGCGGCUGGACGCGUGCGCCGCAACGCGCCUCCCCAUUCCAUCGUCCCCGGUCGGCCAGCUUGCCGCCCAGGUCCGCACACUCCCUGGAUACGCUGGAAGCACGGCUCCCAUAGGCUGCUCGACGCUGGCCCGCCCUCCCAGUACUACGUCCUCCUCUGCAGCAACUAGGAUUUAGAAGUGUGUCAAUUCAACCUCGACCAGAUUCCAUGGGUGAUCACCCCAAGGGAGGUGCGCCUCCUCAACACCAUAAGAAAUAGUGGUUCAGGUGCAGCUCAAUGGGUGUCUGCUCCGUUGUGCCAUGCCAUGGGGAUUCAUGGGACCGGUGGUCUGUGGUUGCUCACGCUCGACGACGACUACAAAGACGUCGACGGUACGGUGCCAUGCCAUGGGAAGACUGGGCGGGCGACAUGCGGCCAGAGGAAGGGUGUGGUCGAGCUUGCGCUCGACUGUAGAGGAUGCUAUAAACGGAUUUUACAGUAGCAUGGAGUUUUUUACCUGCUCAUAUAUGAGAAGUUGAGAGCUCACAAUAUACAAACAAAUGAGAAUGUUCUGCUAGGCAAGAAGAUAUGCUGGCCAAGAUGCUGGUAUUAUAUGAGCACUAAUUGGUGCAUUAGAGUUGAUUUCGUGUAUCAGUGACAUUGUUUCUAUGUGUGGAUUCUGGUCUGGAUUAUUAAGAAUGGACCAUACAUUUUAGUCCCAUAUGCCAAAUAUUGCUUGAAUCGAAGAUGGCUAUCGGCUACACUUUCAAAGGUGCCCUUAUUGCCCCUGCAUAAAGGGAGUGGAAAGGUUCCACAAACUGCAAAGGAUAUCCAACCUAAUGAAGAGAGUAAGGUGGUCUCAUGGCAACCCCAUCAACAGGCAACAAAAACUCACAGGCAACACCUGCCAAAGACAUCUUAGAGGCUGCCGAUUCAGACUUUGGAGAGAACAUAGGCUCUACAACAGAGAGCAAAAAACGAAAAAACCACAAAUCAACUAUGACGUCCGCGAGAAAAGUGCAACUAAUGAAAAGAGAGAGGUAACACGGAAAUGUUCCCACCUAAAAACAGAAGUUUCACCUGACCCGGUAAGCACUAGAGGUAUAAAUAAACCGAAUGAACAACACCAUGCCGUUGCACCAUAUUAACUUCACUUUACUAUUCAUCAAUGUACUAGCUUCGCUCACUU